ensembl:lncRNA
AUCUGGUCCAUGAAAUGUGUGCUCUUCCCCAUCAAGUGGUUUCACUAAAGUGGUGGAAUUGGGCCCAGACCUUGGCUUGUUUACUACCUGAGCCUAUCUGCUGCCAAACUGGUCUGCAUGUGUCUACUUGUCUUCCCUGGAGAUCCCCCAUCAGAGAACUUGUCACCCUGAGGUGAAGUUUUGAAGUCUCCCUCUCUAUGUGAUGUUUUGAAGUCUCCUGUUUUCAGUAAGGCUUGGAGUUUUCACACAAAUGGAUACAAAUCUGUCUAAUUCUCUUAUCCUUGUCCAUGCGGUUCCUUGGAAGAACUGUGCCAUAGGUUCAAAAUGGUGCCCUUACCAUGGUCCAAGAUUCUCCAUCAUACUGGAAAUCCAAAGAGGUGACUGGUACCAAAGACAUAAAUGAAAGGCAGGAAAGGACAGAAGAUGAUAACCAUCAGCAGAUGCACAGAAGCCACAGAGUGCCAGCAUCACCACAGAGUAAUUUAUGAUGAAAAACAGAAUGAAGCCAAAAGCCAAAUCUCAGAGGUGUUCCAAGAAAAUCGCCUGUGAACCAGGAGUGAGAGCUGAGAGUAAGAACCACAGACAAAGUGGGCAACGCCCUGGACUUGACCAUGGUAAACCACAGAAGAGCAAAAUCAGGGCCAAGCACCGGGCCCAAAGAUAAACAAAGGUAAAGCAGGGUCAGAGUUCAGAAGAGGCUGGUGAUGCAGAGGGGUCAGGAGCUGGGAUGGGUAAUAGGAGAACUGUGGAACAUGGGCAUCGCAGCCACCCUAGAGUGUCUGUUGCCCCCUGCUUCAGAACUCCACCUGGGGAGGUUAUAAAAAACACAGGUAACAGGACCCAAUUCCAUAUUCAUACACUCAGCAUCUCCUGGAGGUUGGAACCAGGUAUAUGCAUUUUUAAUAUGUUCUCAGAUGGUUCUGAAGCUCCUUAGAGUAUGAGAAAUGUAGAUAAGGGGACAUUCCCACAGCCUCUUAGAUAGACCACCAGUCCCUAGGUUCAACAUUAGCUCAUAGGAUCAAUCUUCAUCGGGGGCAUGCAGGUCCUGCCAGCAAGCUUUGAUAAACACAGACUCUGAGCUUGUAGGGCUGGAGAGGGAGCUAUGACAGCAGCGCCUCCUAGCGCCUACUAGUCAUGGAGCACCCACCCCAUGCCAUGCUUUCCUGGCAUUGCUACAUUUAAUGCUUACUUAUGAGGAGAGUCCCAUGAUCAGUCCCACUUUAUAGAUGAUGAAGCUGAGACUAACAGAAGCAAAGCAGUGUAUCCUGGGCCUCCUGGAGCAGCUUCAGGUUCUGGGCCGGUUUGACUCCAAGACUCUUUGCAUACACCGAGGUGUUACAAAAUGUUUCAGACAUCGUUUUAAAAAGUUGGGGGAAGAAAAAUGUGGAAGAUCAAAGAGGAGGUUGCAGUAUUAGUUGAUGGUGAGUCUUUGGUUAAUGUAAAAAAAUGUUUUUCACAGCAAGCCUAAGGCAUUAAUGGGGAAGCAAGACUCUGCUGUCUUUUCUUGAUCCUCCAGCCAGAGGUAUUAUCAAGUUACAUAAUCUCUCUUUUUUUUUAAUCUCAGUGAAGAAGCGUCUGAGAUUAAGUUUGGGAAGAGAUUGAAAAUCAAAGUUCAGAGGAAUAGAUUAAAAUGAUGCAAAGGCAUCCUGAAUCACGAGGGGAAAAAAUGACAGGACUUUGUUGAUGGAGCUGCUGAAGGAAGAUAAGACACUGAAGGCAUCUCAGAGGGAAAAGGGGCCUGGGUUGGGAAAGAGAACCGAGCAGAAGGAAGAGAUAACCGGGUGGAGAGCAGAGAUAAGAGGCAGGGUGAGGCAAGGCCAGGGAGGAAGACCAGACUGGAUUUUCUAGUCUGGAGUCUGUCCGGGACUCUGCCUUUCUUUCUUGUUUGUCUCUCAGAAUAUAUCUUAAAAGGGAGGAAGGAGGCCAUCUUUGUAGUAUAUUUGUACUAUAUCUUAAAUGUUCAAUUCUGAUACUCGGUCUCUGUGCCUGAAAACAUAGUCACAUUUGCUGGUAAAUCUAAACU